rnacentral:rRNA from 1 species
AAAGAAUUUCGGUAUGGGAUGGGGAUGCGUUCCAUUAGUUAGUUGGCGGGGUAACGGCCCACCAAGACAACGAUGGAUAGGGGUUCUGAGAGGAAGGUCCCCCACAUUGGAACUGAGACACGGUCCAAACUCCUACGGGAGGCAGCAGUGAGGAAUAUUGGUCAAUGGACGAGAGUCUGAACCAGCCAAGUAGCGUGAAGGAUGACUGCCCUAUGGGUUGUAAACUUCUUUUAUAUGGGAAUAAAAUGUUCCACGUGUGGGAUUUUGUAUGUACCAUAUGAAUAAGGAUCGGCUAACUCCGUGCCAGCAGCCGCGGUAAUACGGAGGAUCCGAGCGUUAUCCGGAUUUAUUGGGUUUAAAGGGAGCGUAGGUGGAUUGUUAAGUCAGUUGUGAAAGUUUGCGGCUCAACCGUAAAAUUGCAGUUGAAACUGGCAGUCUUGAGUACAGUAGAGGUGGGCGGAAUUCGUGGUGUAGCGGUGAAAUGCUUAGAUAUCACGAAGAACUCCGAUUGCGAAGGCAGCUCACUGGACUGCAACUGACACUGAGGCUCGAAAGUGUGGGUAUCAAACAGGAUUAGAUACCCUGGUAGUCCACACAGUAAACGAUGAAUACUCGCUGUUUGCGAUA